UAUUGUAUUGCGUUAAACGCGACAUACAUUCCAUAAGACUUUGUUACGGUGUGUGUGUAAAGACGUAGGACCACAGCAAGGGGACAGAGUCCCUAGGCCAUAGAACUACAGAGGGUGCACAGGUGUGAGUGGAUGCGUAAACAGAGCGUGCACGUGCCCCCUUUUGAGGGCCAGCAACAACUCGUGUCAACAGUUCAGUAAUGAUCCUUCCGCAGGUUCACCUACGGAAA
rnacentral:misc_RNA from 1 species